GGAUUCGCCGCUCUAGGCCCCAGCCCGUCUCUCAACUGCAGUUCCGCCAGCACCCAACAGAUGGAGGACGGGUUCUGUCUCCGAGUCGCCGGGACCGUCCAGCAUCUUCUCACGUCGUCCAGUUUGGACCUGCAGCCGACAUUCCUGGCGCCCCGGGUCAGUAUCUGAGUGUCAUCUGCUCAGUGCCUGGCAGAUGUCUGGUGCUCAGCAGCUGUGGAACAGUUGCCCAGCAGGAGAGGACAGCACAGACUCAUCCCAGUGAGGUGGCAUGGCCCAUCACGUCAUGGAGAAUCAGAGAAAGACUGCUUUUGGCCAGCCAGCCCAGGGAGAGGUGGAGACGCAGAUGAGCUGUUGUCCUGUGUGGAGUAGUCGACUUCCGUCCUGGGAAUAAAAGGUGUGGCUCGUGGGUUGGGAACACAGCCCACGUUUGUGAAGCAGCCAGCUUCUCUGAGAACCCAGGUACUCUGGGUUCCAGAACAUGGUGACCAGGUGGAACCAGGCUGCUCAUCCAGGGCUUCUUGACCGUUGCAGAGGAAGCAGCACGGUGCACAGGGGUCCCUGCGAGGUGUCCCGUCCUGUCAAGAGACAGCUGGCUCAGACGAGUCCACUGUGUGCAGAGGCGUCAUGGAAGCUGUCGUGUCAAGAGCAUUCUAGACCGCACUGUCCUUGAGAUGUUGGCUUGAAGAAAGGCGAGGUAACAUUGGAGAGCAAACCCUUGUCGUGACCUCCUGCCCUGUGACCUCCCCAUCACGCUGGGGGUGCUGCCUUGGAGGACACCUCAGGGAUGGGAGCACUGGCCUCUCAGGAUGGUGUCCUGGGUUCCAGCUCCCCUGGAGGAGCCUCCUCAUGGCUGUUUUGGGUCUGAUGACAGGCGAGCAGACUGAAGAGGGGUGUUGCUGCGUGACCACCGCCAGACCUCCUUCUCCUGUUGCCUCAGCACAGUAUGGAAGGACGUGGCCCCAUGUGACCAGGUCAGGGGCCUGGCUAAGGCCUGAGACUCUGGGACCUUGGGAUUCACAGCUGGAGACCUUCAGCUGGCUCUGCCCCUUCCCAGCAGGUGCCACAGGGCACAGCGGACCCAGAAGACUGGUUUCCUUUCAUCUGGACCAGGUCCUCCAGUGGCCUCCAUGUCCCCCUCUCUGUUUCUGGUGUAACUUUUAGAACCAGGAGUUCCUGUUGGAGGCGUCUCUGCUGGGCAUCUUGUCCUCUCACCCACUUCAAUAAAUCUUGAAACUGCC